ACCUGGCUGGCUCAGUUGGUGGAGCAUGUGACUCUUGAUCUCAGGGUUGUGAGUUUGAGCCCCAUGUUGGGUG
rnacentral:tRNA from 1 species